rnacentral:lncRNA from 1 species
CGGAUUGCGGGUUUUGAACCCGAAAAGUUGGAGACUGGAACAAUAAAGCCUUUGUGCAUGCCCCUUUUGACUUUGUACAAGAGUGGAUUAGCGGUUUAUUUGAGGUGUCGGUUGAGACACCGGCGAGUCCAGGAGGCAGCAGCCAUGAAAGCAGUGAGCAAGGUUUGAGAUCCAGCAUCCACGAACAAGAGAGAGAUGAGAUCGAGCGCCAACAAGAGUGGAUUAGCAGUUUCUUUAAGGUGUCGGUUGAGGCACCAACGAGUCGAGGAGGUGGCAGCCAUGAGAGUAGCGAGCAAGGUUUGAGAUCCAGCAUCCAAGAACAAGAGAGAAAUGAGAUCAAAUUUGAUGAGAGAUGAGAGAUAAGGUUGAAUUUGAUGGUGCCAAAGAUUGUUUGUUGCUUUUGAUGAUGAAUUGACAAUGAUUUAAAUUGAUGUUGAGGAUGAUAUUGAUUUUAUUAUUGUUGAUAAUGAAUUGACGAUGGGUGGAUGAUGAUGAAUUGAAUUGAUGUUGAGGAAGAGGAAAAUAAAGGUGGCGGCUGGGGUGGGGAUUU